UCAGCCCUUGUAAGACCACAUAUCCAAUGCAACAUCCUUAUUUCCGCCACCUUCGACUUUUGAAUAUGGGAAGUCUUAACUGGCCAACACUCCGCUCCGUACAACAUAGCCAGCCGGACUGCAACUCUAUAGAAUUUGCCUUUAAGCUUGGGAGGCACCUUCUUAUCUCAUAAAAUCCUCGAAGCGAGCCUCCAUUUCAUCCAACCUGCCCCAAUA
rnacentral:lncRNA from 1 species